rnacentral:rRNA from 1 species
AGAGUUUGAUCCUGGCUCAGAUUGAACGCUGGCGGAAUGCUUUACACAUGCAAGUCGAACGGCAGCACGGAGAGCUUGCUCUCUGGUGGCGAGUGGCGAACGGGUGAGUAAUAUAUCGGAACGUGUCCAAUAAUGGGGGAUAACGAGUCGAAAGAUUCGCUAAUACCGCAUACGCCCUACGGGGGAAAGCAGGGGAUCGUAAGACCUUGCGUUAAUGGAGCGGCCGAUAUCUGAUUAGCUUGUUGGUGAGGUAAAGGCUCACCAAGGCGACGAUCAGUAGCUGGUUUGAGAGAACGACCAGCCACACUGGAACUGAGACACGGUCCAGACUCCUACGGGAGGCAGCAGUGGGGAAUUUUGGACAAUGGGGGCAACCCUGAUCCAGCCAUUCCGCGUGAGUGAAGAAGGCCUUCGGGUUGUAAAGCUCUUUCGCAAGGGAAGAAAACUUAUGAUCGAAUAAAUCAUGAGGUUGACGGUACCUUGAUAAGAAGCACCGGCUAACUACGUGCCAGCAGCCGCGGUAAUACGUAGGGUGCGAGCGUUAAUCGGAAUUACUGGGCGUAAACCGUGC